rnacentral:rRNA from 1 species
CGCUGGCGGCACGCCUAACACAUGCAAGUCGAACGGACGAGGAGGAAGCUUGCUUCUUCCGAGUAGUGGCGGACGGGUGAGUAACACGUGAGCAACCUGCCUUAAGAGGGGAUAGCUUCUGGAAACGGAUGGUAAUACCCCAUAACAUAUGCGGAUGGCAUCUUCUGCAUAUCAAAGAUUUAUCGCUUAGAGAUGGGCUCGCGUCUGAUUAGAUAGUUGGUGGGGUAACGGCCCACCAAGCCUUCGAUGGAUAGGGGUUCUGAGAGGAAGGUCCCCCACACUGGAACUGAGACACGGUCCAGACUCCUACGGGAGGCAGCAGUGAGGAAUAUUGGUCAAUGGGCGAGAGCCUGAACCAGCCAAGUAGCGUGAAGGAAGACUGCCCUAUGGGUUGUAAACUUCUUUUGUUCGGGAAUAAAGUUCAGUAUGUAUACUGUUUUGUAUGUACCGUUCGAAUAAGCAUCGGCUAAUUCCGUG